rnacentral:pre_miRNA from 1 species
UCUUAUGGAUGAGCAAAGAACAUGGUUUCUUAAAAUGGAAUCUAUUCCAGGUGAAGAUGCUGUGAA